rnacentral:rRNA from 1 species
AGUGAACGCUGGCGGUAGGCCUAACACAUGCAAGUCGAACGGCAGCACAGUAAGAGCUUGCUCUUACGGGUGGCGAGUGGCGGACGGGUGAGGAAUACAUCGGAAUCUACUUUUUCGUGGGGGAUAACGUAGGGAAACUUACGCUAAUACCGCAUACGACCUACGGGUGAAAGCAGGGGAUCUUCGGACCUUGCGCGAUUGAAUGAGCCGAUGUCGGAUUAGCUAGUUGGCGGGGUAAAGGCCCACCAAGGCGACGAUCCGUAGCUGGUGUGAGAGGAUGAUCACCCACACUGGAACGGAGACACGGUCCAUGCGCCUGCGGGAGGCAGCAGUGGGGAAUAUUGGACAAUGGGCGCAAGCCUUAUCCAGCCAUACCGCGUGGGUGAAGAAGGCCUUCGGGUUGUAAAGCCCUUUUGUUGGGAAAGAAAAGCAGCAGGUUAAUACCCCGCUGUUCUGACGGUACCCAAAGAAUAAGCACCGGCUAACUUCGUG